ACCCUUUGCACUGACGUCACAAAUCCUUAGAGUGUCCUCCAGAUGCUCCCUAACAAUAUAUGUUCGGGUACAACAACCACAUACAGCGCGAAAAUUAACCAUUUUAAUACAAAAUUAUUAUAAACUUUUGCAAAAUUUGCUUUGUUUACAAAAGUUAUAUUAUGCAUAGAUUGCUAAUUUGUCCUCCAGAUGCAUCGUCACCGGCGCUGUGACGUCAUGUUAAGGGUCUAUUGAUAUCUUCUAACAUGUAAAAAUACUCAGUAUGUAAUCUGAUAGAUUUUUAAAGAGGUAGUUACUCUUGAUAAUUUAUGUAUUAACUUGUACGUUUUAUGUAUUAACUUGUAAGUUUUUUUUAAUAAACCUAGUAUUAUUAAUAAACCUAUUAUGUAUAGCCACUGUAUUGGGAGAGCGUACUUAUGAGUACACGGCAUAUAUAUAAACAUAUAUAUUUAAAUAAUUGCAACAACUCAAUAAAUUCCACUAAGCAUUUUUAUUUUCAUAAAUAAAUAAUAAUUCCACUAGGUACCUUCAUUUUUCUAGGCAUCUUUAUUUUUUUAUCUAGUGGAAUUGGUUGAGUCGUUGCCCUUAUUUAAUUAUGCUCUGAAUAUCCACUGAGCCAAUUUUUUUUAAAACAACGAAACCUAAUUAUAUAUAUUUUAUAUAUUUUACGGUGAUAUAUAUUUUCGGAAAUUUUCACACGGCUUUCAUACUUUAUUUAUUUAUUAAACUUUGCCACUUACAACAAACACGUGGUAGGGUCACCACAACAGUAUACACCAAUUACUGUGGGCCCUGUGUGGGAGCGUAAAAAUAAAUACUCGAGCCGCAGGCGAGUGUAUUUUUACGCUUUCCGAAAGCUGAACUCGUUCUACUCGUUUAAUCAGAUCGAUCGUCUGAGGAGCCCAAAUCUGCGUGGCGUAGCCGAGAUGAGGUCGUGCAAUCGCUAGGAACAGGCAUCUUCUUCUGGGGUUUCUUAUCUUCUUACAUGAUCUCUUGAUGAAACCCAAAAGUUUGUUUGCUUUUGAGCUCUGUUCAACAACUUGCUUGUUCCAGGUCAAGUCACUAUCAAUCCACACAUACCAAGGUCUUUCUCCUGCUUCACGGCAUCAAGUAUUGAGCCAUUCAUAGCGUAUGGAUAGUUUGAAGGUUUUUCUCCUGCUUCACGGCGUCAAGUAUUGAGCCAUUCAUAGCGUAUGGAUAGUUUGAAGGCUUUUCUCCUGCUUCACGGCGUCAAGUAUUGAGCCAUUCAUAGCGUAUGGAUAGUUUGAAGGUUUUUCUCCUGCUUCACGGCACCAAGUAUUGAGCUAUUCAUAGCGUAUGGAUAGUUUGAAGGUUUUUCUCCUGCUUCACGGCGUCAAGUAUUGAGCCAUUCAUAGCGUAUGGAUAGUUUGAAGGUUUUUUCCUGCUUCACGGCAUCAAAUAUUGAGCCAUUCAUAGCGUAUGGAUAGUUUGAAGGUUUUUCUCCUGCUUCACGGCACCAAGUAUUGAGCUAUUCAUAGCGUAUGGAUAGUUUGAAGGUUUUUCUCCUGCUUCACGGCGUCAAGUAUUGAGCCAUUCAUAGCGUAUGGAUAGUUUGAAGGUUUUUUCCUGCUUCACGGCAUCAAAUAUUGAGCCAUUCAUAGCGUAUGGAUAGUUUGAAGGUUUUUCUCCUGCUUCACGGCACCAAGUAUUGAGCUAUUCAUAGCGUAUGGAUAGUUUGAAGGUUUUUCUCCUGCUUCACGGCGUCAAGUAUUGAGCCAUUCAUAGCGUAUGGAUAGUUUGAAGGUUUUUUCCUGCUUCACGGCAUCAAAUAUUGAGCCAUUCAUAGCGUAUGGAUAGUUUGAAGGUUUUUCUCCUGCUUCACGGCACCAAGUAUUGAGCUAUUCAUAGCGUAUGGAUAGUUUGAAGGUUUUUCUCCUGCUUCACGGCGUCAAGUAUUGAG
rnacentral:lncRNA from 1 species